GGGGUUGUGGCUCAGUGGUAGAGCGCUCGCUUAGCAUGUGUGAGGCCCUGGGUUCAAUCCUUUGCACCA
rnacentral:tRNA from 1 species